rnacentral:rRNA from 1 species
GACGGAAGGUGCAAGUGUUGCUCGGAAUCACUGGGCGUAAAGAGCUUGUAGGCGGCCAGUCAGGUCCGUUGUGAAAACUCGAGGCUCAACCUCGAGACGCCGAUGGAAACCGUCUGGCUAGAGUCCGGAAGAGGAGAGUGGAAUUCCUGGUGUAGCGGUGAAAUGCGCAGAUAUCAGGAAGAACACCCGUGGCUAAGGCGGCUCUCUAGUACGGUACUGACGCUGAGACGCGAAAGCGUGGGGAGUGAACAGG